UACGUAGGUGGCAAGCGUUGUCCGGAUUUACUGGGCGUAAAGAGCGCGCAGGCGGUCGUUCAAGUCGCGUGUGAAAGCCCCCGGCUCAACUGGGGAGGGUCACGCGAUACUGAUCGACUCGAAGGCAGGAGAGGGUAGUGGAAUUCCCGGUGUAGUGGUGAAAUGCGUAGAUAUCGGGAGGAACACCAGUGGCGAAGGCGACACGCUGGGCCGUACCUGACACUGAUGCGCGACAGCAUGGGGAGCAAACAGG
rnacentral:rRNA from 1 species